AUACGAAGGGAGCUAGCGUUGUUCGGAAUUACUGGGCGUAAAGCGCACGUAGGCGGAUUGAUUAGUUAGGGGUGAAAUCCCAGGGCUUAACCCUGGUACUGCCUCUAAUACUGUCAGUCUAGAGAUCGAGAGAGGUGAGUGGAAUUCCGAGUGUAGAUGUGAAAUUCGUAGAUAUUCGGAGGAACACCAGUGGCGAAGGCGGCUCACUGGCUCGAUACUGACGCUGAGGUGCGAAAGCGUGGGGAGCAAACAGGAUUAGAAACCCUAGUAGUCC
rnacentral:rRNA from 1 species